rnacentral:piRNA from 1 species
UGAUACUAAAACAGACCGUGGAGAAUGC